GAAAUGCGAUAAGUAAUGUGAAUUGCAGAAUUUAGUGAAUCAUCGAAUCUUUGAACGCACAUUGCGCCCCCUGGUAUUCCGGGGGGCAUGCCUGUUCGAGCGUCAUUAUCAACCCUCAAGCCCGGCUUGCUGUUGAGCUUCCCGUCUGCCCGUCUCCGGGUGGACCGGCUCGAAAAUCGGUGACGGCCCCGGCCAGUCUCCAGCGCAGUACGAUUUACAUCACCGCUGACGAGACUUGCCCGGAGCGCCGGACAGCCCACCCCAUAUUUCUAUGAUUGACCUCGGAUCAGGUAGGGAUACCCGCUGAACUUAAGCAUAUCAAUAAGCGGAGGAAAAGAAACCAACAGGGAUUGCCUCAGUAACGGCGAGUGAAGCGGCAACAGCUCAAAUUUGAAAUCUGGCUCCUUCGGGGUCCGAGUUGUAAUUUGCAGAGGAUGUUUCGGGUUCGGCUGCAGUCUAAGUUCCUUGGAACAGGACGUCAUGGAGGGUGAGAAUCCCGUGUGGGACUGCCGGCCACGCCCAUGUGAAACGCCUUCGACGAGUCGAGUUGUUUGGGAAUGCAGCUCAAAAUGGGUGGUAAAUUUCAUCUAAAGCUAAAUAUUGGCCAGAGACCGAUAGCGCACAAGUAGAGUGAUCGAAAGAUGAAAAGCACUUUGGAAAGAGAGUUAAAAAGCAUGUGAAAUUGUUGAAAGGGAAGCGCUUGCAACCAGACUUGGCCCCGGGUGCUCAGGCGGCGUUCUCGCCGUCGCACUCGCCCGGGGACAGGCCAGCAUCGGUUCAGGCGGCCGGACAAAGGCUCCCGGAAUGUAGCUUCCUUCGGGGAGUGUUAUAGCCGGGGGUGCAAUGCGGCCCGCCUGGACCGAGGAACGCGCUUCGGCCCGGAUGCUGGCGUAAUGGUUGCAAGCGGCCCGU
rnacentral:rRNA from 1 species